GGGGAUGUUCUGGUUUUGACGGUAAAUGAUGUCGGACGGUAAGCAUGCCGAGCGUCGUGGCCCCGCUCGUAAAUCUCAGACCGCAAGCCAUAACUGGCAACUACAACUAUGCACUCGCUGCCUAAUCUGCCAAGCGGAUUAGCUUAAUCGAGCGGACCAGGUCCGCCUCGACGAGUAUCCCGCCGGCGUUUCUAGCCUUCCCUCGCCGGCAAACGGGAUAUCAUCCAGGAAGGAUGCGGACGCCGACGCUUCUACAGCGUCCUAAGUUUCAGAAGCUAAGGAGCCAUUGGCCCGCCCUCCGGCAGACGGUUCCCGACAACCAAAGGCGGGAUAAGCAUGUAGAAAGCCGUAAGGCGCUUUAUUCGGACGGCGGUUCGACUCCGCCCAUCUCCACA
rnacentral:tmRNA from 1 species